rnacentral:rRNA from 1 species
AGCGAACGCUGGCGGCAGGCCUAACACAUGCAAGUCGAACGAACUCUUCGGAGUUAGUGGCGGACGGGUGAGUAACACGUGGGAACGUGCCUUUUGGUUCGGAAUAACUCAGGGAAACUUGUGCUAAUACCGAAUGUGCCCUUCGGGGGAAAGAUUUAUCGCCAAUAGAGCGGCCCGCGUCUGAUUAGCUAGUUGGUGAGGUAACGGCUCACCAAGGCGACGAUCAGUAGCUGGUCUGAGAGGAUGACCAGCCACACUGGGACUGAGACACGGCCCAGACUCCUGCGGGAGGCAGCAGUGGGGAAUCUUGCGCAAUGGGCGAAAGCCUGACGCAGCCAUGCCGCGUGAAUGAUGAAGGUCUUAGGAUUGUAAAAUUCUUUCACCGGGGACGAUAAUGGCGGUACCCGGAGAAGAAGCCCCGGCUAACUUCGUG